rnacentral:tRNA from 1 species
AGUAAAACCAGCUAAAAGCUUUAGGAUCAUGCCCUAAUAUGUUGAUUAAUAUCCUUCUUUUACUA